CCUGGCUCAGAUUGAACGCUGGCGGCAUGCCUUACACAUGCAAGUCGAACGGCAGCGCGGGAGCAAUCCUGGCGGCGAGUGGCGAACGGGUGAGUAACAUAUCGGAACGUGCCCUGGAGUGGGGGAUAACCAGUCGAAAGACUGGCUAAUACCGCAUACGAUCUACGGAUGAAAGUGGGGGAUCGCAAGACCUCAUGCUCGUGGAGCGGCCGAUAUCUGAUUAGCUAGUUGGUGGGGUAAAGGCCCACCAAGGCGACGAUCAGUAGCUGGUCUGAGAGGACGACCAGCCACACUGGGACUGAGACACGGCCCAGACUCCUACGGGAGGCAGCAGUGGGGAAUUUUGGACAAUGGGGGCAACCCUGAUCCAGCAAUGCCGCGUGAGUGAAGAAGGCCUUCGGGUUGUAAAGCUCUUUUGUUCGGAAAGAAAUCGCCCGGGUGAAUAUCCUGGGUGGAUGACGGUACCGGAAGAAUAAGCACCGGCUAACUACGUGCCAGCAGCCGCGGUAAUACGUAGGGUGCAAGCGUUAAUCGGAAUUACUGGGCGUAAAGCGUGCGCAGGCGGUUGUGCAAGACAGAUGUGAAAUCCCCGGGCUCAACCUGGGAACUGCAUUUGUGACUGCACGGCUAGAGUGUGUCAGAGGGGGGUAGAAUUCCACGUGUAGCAUGAAAUGCGUAAAUUUGUGGAGGAAUACCGAUGGCGGAAGGCAGCCCCCCUGGGGAUAACACUGACGCUCAUGCACGAAAAGCGUGGGGGAGCCAAACCAGGAUUAGAUUCCCUGGGUUAGUCCCACCGCCCUAAACGAUUUCAACUAAUUUUUNCGGGUCUUAAUUUGACUUGGUAACGCCACUUACACGCGUUGAAUUGACCCGCCUGGGGAGUACGUUCGCAAAGAUUAAAACUCAAAAGGAAUUGACGGGGACCCGCACAAGCGGUGGAUGAUGUGGAUUAAUUCGAUGCAACGCGAAAAACCUUACCUACCCUUGACAUGGUCGGAAUCCUGGAGAGAUCUGGGAGUGCUCGAAAGAGAACCGGCGCACAGGUGCUGCAUGGCUGUCGUCAGCUCGUGUCGUGAGAUGUUGGGUUAAGUCCCGCAACGAGCGCAACCCUUGUCAUUAGUUGCUACGAAAGGGCACUCUAAUGAGACUGCCGGUGACAAACCGGAGGAAGGUGGGGAUGACGUCAAGUCCUCAUGGCCCUUAUGGGUAGGGCUUCACACGUCAUACAAUGGUACAUACAGAGGGCUGCCAACCCGCGAGGGGGAGCUAAUCCCAGAAAGUGUAUCGUAGUCCGGAUUGCAGUCUGCAACUCGACUGCAUGAAGUUGGAAUCGCUAGUAAUCGCGGAUCAGCAUGUCGCGGUGAAUACGUUCCCGGGUCUUGUACACACCGCCCGUCACACCAUGGGAGCGGGUUUUACCAGAAGUAGGUAGCCUAACCACAAGGAGGGCGCUUACCACGGUAGGAUUCGUGACUGGGGUGAAGUCGUAACAAGGUAGCCGUAUCGGAAGGUGCGGCUGGAUCACCUCC
rnacentral:rRNA from 1 species